UACUAUUUGAAAUUCUACAGAUGGAGACUCUCAAAGGGUACUUUUCCCUUUAACUUUCUCUCUUUGUUUCUAAUUUUGUUUUUUAGUAGUUUUAAUUGUUCAGGGUUUGACUCAAACCGUUUGAGAGCUUGGUGUUUACUUGCAACCACAUUCUUGGAUUCUCUAACACAAGGUUGUAAGGCUGAAUAUCGUGUGAAUCAGAUAAGGAAUAACUAUUUUAACUUAUCUUGAAUCAAUAUACAAUUAUAUUAAUCGAAAUAAGCUAGAGAAAGGUUUAUUUGUCUGUGGUAUAAGCAGUGGCAUAAGUUGCUGGAAGAACUUGCACGAUAGAGUAAAACAAGAAUAUCAACUAGCCACGAACUCCUACUUCUUAAAGCACCGCAAUCCGUAGCUGUGAAAAAAUGUGAGAGAUCAAGUUCUAGAGAAAAACCAAAAGCUAAGCAAGAUUCAGAUUUGUGGAAGUAAAGCUUUUGCAUGAUAAUUCAAUAAAAUCAUAUUCAGAUCUAUCGCAAUGGAGCAUUAAAAUGGUCGUGCGUCAUAUUUGCCCAUUCGAGUCCAAAGUCAAGAUCUAUUUAGAGCAAUCAAAAUACACAUUUUGAAAAGAAGUCUUCUUUCAUCCUUGCACGGUGAAGAACAAAGACUCUGCUUCCCUUUCCAGGAUUCUUAUUCGUUUGGUUGUUGAAAGAUACCAAGAACUCUCAUCAAAACUAGAGUACAAUUUUCCAUUGAAGUAGCAAGAGUAGAUCUAUGGAGGUGCUUUCCAGGAUUUUGAAGUAACGUGAAGCUGAAUAUUGAAAAUAUGCAAAGACAAAAAGGCUCGAGCGGGAAUCAGGGAGGUUCACUUCCAUUGACUUACAUCGACAGCAGAAGGCAGUAGUCAAGGUGCUCUCCUGAUUAGGUGGUGCUAGAGAAAACGAAGGAAAGCCUAGGUGCAUGGUGCAACAUAUGGUAAUUUGUUGGAUUGUUGCCCCCAAGACAUGAAAGUACUGAAACCAUUGGAAGGGCUUUGACUCUCGGUGUUAACAUCAAGAUGAUCACUGGCCAGAUAACCAGUUGUAAACUUGGAAUGGGAAUAAACAUGUAUCCAUCUUCGGCUUUUCUUGGUACGCACAAGUGGUAGGAACCAACAAACCCCAUGGAUGAAUAUGUCUCUCAAGUCUCAAUGGUUGUAAGUUUUGUCACGUAAGAGACAUGGAGAACAUACCUGGCAGAGAAUCAAGUGAAUUCCUCCAAAGAACUGAUCAGAUUAGAAAGAGCUAGUGUCUUGCGGCUGAAUAGAAUGGGAGAUAUGUAAAGGAAGGAACAAAUACUUUUGACAAACUAUUUAGGCCAUCGUCAAAGAUUUUGCAACAUACACAUCCAUUAAUUAGUAUUCAGUAGACAGUGGAAAGAAGUGUCUAAAGGAAACUUGAACCCAGAUGUCUGCAUAGAGGUAAAUCCACAUAAGAUCUCACACCCUCGGCCAAGUUCACAUCACACAUUAGAAUUAUAGAACCUUGACGUGUCUUUAUUCGGUGGAGCAUGGAAUUCUUCUCAUUGUAGAUCGCUGCUUGACAUUGUUUGACAAUCCACUGGUCGACUCUCUUCACACAACUUACAAUGAGCUCAAGCUUAAAAAUGGGUGUGUUCGGCAUUCUAAAUCAAUGUCACAAAGGAGACAAGCGGUAAGAACCACCAAACCCCAUUGACGAAGAUGGUCUCCUGGAAGAUUUGGCACGUAAGAGACGUAGAGAACAUACUUGUUGGAGCAUCAAAUGAUUUCCUCCAAAGAAAUUGAUUAGAUUGGGAAGACUAGUGUCUCGCGGCUGAAUAGGUAAGCAUGCUUGGAGCAUAACGGCUAGCGGCAAUGUCCAACUGCCAUUAGGAACAACCUGAAAAUCUACAUCGACCUCUUUGAUAGCGUGAUAUAGUCAUGUGUGCAUGCAUACAUUCAUAUGUGCAUACAUUCAUACAUCCAUACAUUCAUGCAUACAUUCAUACAUUCAUACAUUCAUACAUUCAUACAUCCAUACAUGCAUGCAUACAUUCAUACAUGCAUACAUUCAUAC
rnacentral:sRNA from 1 species